GACGAACGCUGGCGGCGUGCCUAAUACAUGCAAGUUGAGCGAUGAAGAUUGGUGCUUGCGCCAAUUUGAAGAGCAGCGAACGGGUGAGUAACGCGUGGGGAAUCUGCCUUUGAGCGGGGGACAACAUUUGGAAACGAAUGCUAAUACCGCAUAAUAACUUUAAACAUAAGUUUUAAGUUUGAAAGAUGCAAUUGCAUCACUCAAAGAUGAUCCCGCGUUGUAUUAGCUAGUUGGUGAGGUAAAGGCUCACCAAGGCGAUGAUACAUAGCCGACCUGAGAGGGUGAUCGGCCACAUUGGGACUGAGACACGGCCCAAACUCCUACGGGAGGCAGCAGUAGGGAAUCUUCGGCAAUGGACGAAAGUCUGACCGAGCAACGCCGCGUGAGUGAAGAAGGUUUUCGGAUCGUAAAACUCUGUUGGUAGAGAAGAACGUUGGUGAGAGUGGAAAGCUCAUCAAGUGACGGUAACUACCCAGAAAGGGACGGCUAACUACGUG
rnacentral:rRNA from 1 species